rnacentral:rRNA from 1 species
AUUGAACGCUGGCGGCAGGCCUAACACAUGCAAGUCGAACGAGUGGCGGACGGGUGAGUAAUGUGUGGGAAACUGCCUGAGGGAGGGGGAUAACUACUGGAAACUGUCUAUAAUACCGCAUACUAUCAGGUGUGCCCAUAUGGGAUUCGCUUGUGGGUGGGGUAACGGCUCACCAAGGCGACGAUCCCUAGCUGGUCUGAGAGGAUGACCAGCCACACUGGAACUGAGACACGGCCCAGACUCCUACGGGAGGCAGCAGUGGGGAAUAUUGCACAAUGGGCGCAAGCCUGAUGCAGCCAUGCCGCGUGUAUGAAGAAGGCCCUAGGGUUGUAAAGUACUUUCAGCGGGGAGGCGUUACCGACAGAAGAAGCACCGGCUAACUCCGUGCCAGCAGCCGCGGUAAUAC